rnacentral:rRNA from 1 species
UGGGGAAUAUUGGACAAUGGGGGCAACCCUGAUCCAGCAAUGCCGCGUGUGUGAAGAAGGUCUUCGGAUUGUAAAGCACUUUCGACGGGGACGAUGAUGACGGUACCCGUAGAAGAAGCCCCGGCUAACUUCGUGCCAGCAGCCGCGGUAAUACGAAGGGGGCUAGCGUUGCUCGGAAUGACUGGGCGUAAAGGGCGUGUAGGCGGUUUACACAGUCAGAUGUGAAAUCCCCGGGCUUAACCUGGGAGCUGCAUUUGAUACGUGUAGACUAGAGUGUGAGAGAGGGUUGUGGAAUUCCCAGUGUAGAGGUGAAAUUCGUAGAUAUUGGGAAGAACACCGGUGGCGAAGGCGGCAACCUGGCUCAUGACUGACGCUGAGGCGCGAAAGCGUGGGGAGCAAACAGGAUUAGGAUACCCUGGUAGUCCACGCUGUAAAACGAUGUGUGCU